rnacentral:SRP_RNA from 1 species
GCCAGGCGUGGUGGCUCACGCCUGUAAUCCUAGCACUUUGGGAGGCAGAGGCAGGUGGAUCACCUGAGGUCAGGAGUUUGAGACCAACCUGGCCAACAUGGUGAAACCCCGUCUCUA